rnacentral:snoRNA from 1 species
AAAAAAGCAAUGAGGAAUCAUGAAAACUUUCGCAUGUCAGACUUCAGAGAUGCCAUGGCAUUAAUGAGAAGAUGUUUUCAUUUUCUGAGCUUAUAU